rnacentral:rRNA from 1 species
UACGGAGGGUGCGAGCGUUGUCCGGAAUCACUGGGCGUAAAGGGCGCGUAGGCGGCUUCUUAAGCGUGUGGUGAAAGCUCAGGGCUCAACUCUGAGUCGGCCAUGCGAACUGGGAGGCUUGAGCACUGUAGAGGCAGGUGGAAUUCCGGGUGUAGCGGUGGAAUGCGUAGAGAUCGGGAGGAACACCGGUGGCGAAGGCGGUUCUCUGGGCCUGACCUGACGCUGAGGAGCGAAAGCGUGGGGAGCGAACAGG